UGACGUCUCUCUGUGUUCUGUCCUGUGGAUGUGGUUUGUUGACUGAUUGAAGGAAUGAAUUCCUGUAUAGACAGAUGUCCAGCUGAAGAAUUUGGACUUUAUCCCAAAGGAAGCCGCUCAGAGGGUGGGGUGACCAGGUCCCUUUGCAAAUGUCACCGCCUCAGAGAGGCCCAUCAUGACCGCUCCACCUCCCUGCCAUGUAACUUCAGCUUUCUCCAGAACUUACCCUCUGGUGCAGAGACCGAGGCUCACAGAGGUUGUGACUUGCCUGAGGCCACAACAGCUGCCGCACGAUGGAGCUUCUGAGGUUAUCACUGUCUACAGUCUUGGAGCAAAUGCCAACGCCUGAAACGUCCUCAGAG